rnacentral:lncRNA from 1 species
GGGCUAAACACUGCGCUAAAUUUGUCCCGUUAUAAACCUAUGUUAGUAACAAAAUGGUAAAACUGGUAAGGAUUAUCUUGUCAAUUACAUAUAACGAGGGGUAAAUUUAUAGUAAAAGGAACUUACAUAAUACACAAACCGUGCUUGAAGUCACCAAGAAAAGAAAAAAAAAAAAAGUAAGCAAAUGCACUCAUUGAUAUAAAUGCAUGCAGAAUCCUCCAACAGCGCUGCAACAUCCUUGCAGCUAAGGCAGACAAAGAGAUUGGACUAGUUUACAUUAUGGAAGGUCUUCAAGCAUUAUGAUUAUGUAAGUCUAUGGAUGUAGAGGUGAGGAAGAAACACGGUAAAGAGUUAGAGAACCAUGGUGAGGCAAGGGUCAUGCAAGAAGAGGUAGAAUGCGACGGGGUCGAUGGCGGGAAACAAGUUUCACGCAGGACGUAUAUUAAACUAGACAUCAUCACAUAUUUCUUUGCAAGUUUCCAGUUGAGUGCUGGGGGAGAUGAGUGUUUUUAAAAGAUAGUUAAUGGCUUCGGUACUUUGGUGGAUGUUGAUGAGAAAACCAAGAGGUGCAA